UACGGAGGGUGCGAGCGUUGUCCGGAAUCACUGGGCGUAAAGGCGCGUAGGCGGCCUGAUAAGUAGGGGGUGAAAUCUUGCGGCUUAACCGCAAGGCUGCCUUCUAAACUGUCAGGCUAGAGCACAGUAGAGGCAGGUGGAAUUCCCGGUGUAGCGGUGGAAUGCGUAGAGAUCGGGAAGAACAUCAGUGGCGAAGGCGGGUUGCUGGGCUGACACUGACGCUGAUGCGCGAAAGCUAGGGGA
rnacentral:rRNA from 1 species